AAAGCAAACACUACUAGAAACAUGAGUUUUAGAGACGGAAGUAUCCGUCGCUAUUCCGUCGCUAAAUGUUGUUUGCGAUGGAUCAGCGACGGACUCACUCCAUAGUGUAGGGUUCUCACCAGUUCUAAAGCCUAAUAAGAAUUCAAGAGAAGCAUACAGGAGUGUAAGGGUAAAAUGGUCAUUAGCGCACCAUGAUCUCAGUAGUAGCUCAGCAGACUCAGGAACAUAAGAAAAGAGUUUGGACAAAAGUUGGUCAUGGGCGAAGUUCCAGUAAUGCAAAUAAGAAGACUCAGCAUCAGAUAAAAGCUUCCAUGGAGAAUAUGGUAACGGGAGUCCAAACUUUGGUUCUCCCCAAUCUUAUACACAAUCAAGGCCACCAAAAGAUUCUG